GCCAGGCAUGGUGGUGCAUGCCUGUAAUCCCAGCAGCUUGGGAGGCUGAGGCAGGUGGAUUAAGAGUUCAAAGCCAGCCUCAGCAAUGGAGAGGCACUAAGCAACUCAGUGAGACCCUGUCUCUA
rnacentral:sRNA from 1 species